rnacentral:rRNA from 1 species
GAGUUUGAUCCUGGCUCAGAUUGAACGCUGGCGGAAUGCUUUACACAUGCAAGUCGAACGGCAGCACGGGAGCUUGCUCCUGGUGGCGAGUGGCGAACGGGUGAGUAAUACAUCGGAACAUGCCUAGUCGUGGGGGAUACCGUAGCGAAAGUUACGUUAAUACCGCAUACGUCCUGAGGGAGAAAGCAGGGGAUUCGCAAGAACCUUGCGCGAUUAGAGUGGCCGAUGCCUGAUUAGCUAGUUGGUGAGGUAAUGGCUCACCAAGGCGACGAUCAGUAGCGGGUCUGAGAGGAUGAUCCGCCACACUGGAACUGAGACACGGUCCAGACUCCUACGGGAGGCAGCAGUGGGGAAUUUUGGACAAUGGGGGCAACCCUGAUCCAGCCAUUCCGCGUGAGUGAAGAAGGCCUUCGGGUUGUAAAGCUCUUUCAGCGGGAACGAAACGGUGCGCUCUAACAUAGCGUAUUAAUGACGGUACCCGCAGAAGAAGCACCGGCUAACUACGUGCCAGCAGCCGCGGUAAUACGUAGGGUGAGAGCGUUAAUCGGAAUUACUGGGCGUAAAGCGUGCGCAGGCGGCUUUUUAAGCCAGACGUGAAAUCCCCGGGCUUAACCUGGGAAUGGCGUUUGGAACUGGAAGGCUAGAGUGUGUCAGAGGGGGGUAGAAUUCCACGUGUAGCAGUGAAAUGCGUAGAGAUGUGGAGGAAUACCGAUGGCGAAGGCAGCCCCCUGGGAUAACACUGACGCUCAUGUACGAAAGCGUGGGUAGCAAACAGGAUUAGAUACCCUGGUAGUCG